CAGUAGCCGCGGGAAUACAGAGGGUGCGAGCGUUAAUCGGAUUUACUUGGCGUAAAGCGUGCGUAGGCGGCUUCUUAAGUCGGAUGUGAAAUCCCUGAGCUUAACUUAGGAAUUGCAUUCGAUACUGGGAAGCUAGAGUAUGGGAGAGGAUGGUAGAAUUCCAGGUGUAGCGGUGAAAUGCGUAGAGAUCUGGAGGAAUACCGAUGGCGAAGGCAGCCAUCUGGCCUAAUACUGACGCUGAGGUACGAAAGCAUGGGGAGCAAACAGGAUUAGAUACCCCCGUAGUCCCUGUCUCUUAUAC
rnacentral:rRNA from 1 species